rnacentral:rRNA from 1 species
AUGUUCCUAGAGCACUCUUUCAUGCUUCUUAUCAAUGGUACUUUGCAAUACAUACGGCCCAUGUUGGCCGCAAUCUUGGUUUGUUUCCGUUUCCAAUGUUCUAUUCUUCCAAUUAAGGUGAGUCAUGUUGAGAUAGCAUAUUUUUCAUGCUUCCUAGGUGCUUCUCAUGUACUGAUGCUUCUUCACCCGUUCAUCGUAUUAUAUGUACGUACAAAUCGACUUCAAUCUCCUGGCAUGCUUCCUAGGUGUAGAUAUCACUUCUUAAUAGCAUCCAGGCUUCUUGAGAAGCAAAUUCUCUGGUCAAUGGAAACAAAAUUAUACAAUGUGGCGACCUUAACCGUCUUCCUCUCUAUGACGCCGAAAGAAUGGAAUUGA